AGUUCGUGGAACUGAUCUGUCAGUACUUAAUUGUACGUUAAACGAACGAGUACCUUUUAAUUAUUUAAUUAAGUUAAAUAUAUAGUAAUAUAAUUAAACUUUAAAAAAAAUAAAUUAUUUUUUUUUAUUUUUCUUUUGACUUCUUAAAAUAACAAUUGGUGAUUAACCAAAGUAAGUUAAAGGCAAUAACAGGUCUGUGAUGCCCUUUAGAUGUUCUGGGCUGCACGCGCGUUACACUGAAAAUAUCAAUAAGUUUUUAUAUAUCCAAACAAUUAUAUUUUAUAUAUUUGUUUUGAUAUGUCCUUGAUUGAAAAAUUUGGGUAAAACUUGAUAACUAUUUUCGUGAUGGGGAUUGAUAAUUGUAAUUAUUUAUCAUGAACGAGGAAUACCUAGUAAACGCAAGUCAUUAACUUGCAUUGAUUACGUCCCUGCCCUUUUGUACACAC
rnacentral:rRNA from 1 species